rnacentral:rRNA from 1 species
UACGUAGGGUGCAAGCGUUAAUCGGAAUUACUGGGCGUAAAGCGUGCGCAGGCGGUUAUGUAAGACAGAUGUGAAAUCUCCCGGCUCAACUGGGAGGGUGCGCCGAAGACUGGAAGGCUUGAGUAUGGGAGAGGUAAGCGGAAUUCCUGGUGUAGCGGUGAAAUGCGUAGAUAUCAGGAGGAACACCUGCGGUGUAGACGGCUUACUGGACCAUAACUGACGCUGAGGCACGAAAGCGUGGGUAGCAAACAGG